rnacentral:rRNA from 1 species
ACGUACUGGCAUUGUUGGUUUCUCCCUUCUGACGAACCAUGAUGUCAUUUAUUUGGUGUUGUGGGGAAUCAGGACUGUUACUUUGAAAAAAUUAGAGUGUUUAAAGCAGGCUCACGCUUGAAUACAUUAGCAUGGAAUAAUGAAAUAGGACGUUUGAUUCUAUUUUGUUGGUUUCUAGGAUCGACGUAAUGAUUAAUAGGGAUAGUUGGGGGCAUUAGUAUUCAAUUGUCAGAGGUGAAAUUCUUGGAUUUAUUGAAGACUAACUACUGCGAAAGCAUUUGCCAAGGAUGUUUUCAUUAAUCAAGAACGAAAGUUAGGAGAUCGAGGACGAUCAGAUACCGUCGUAGUCUUAACCAUAAACUAUGCCGACUAGGGAUCGGAUGAUGUUAAUUUUUUAAUGACUCAUUCGGCGCCUUACG